CCUGCGCAAACCCCAGCCGCGGCCCCGCCCAUCUCGGCGCAGAGGCCGCCGCAGCUUGUCUCUUCCGCGAGGGCGUGACGACUACAACUCCCGAAGUGCUCCACGAGGAAGCCGGCAGUAGUCCCGGCCCUAGGGAACCUCGGAGCGCUGGUCCGUGUGAUCUGUCUGCAAGGAGCGUUUUUAAUUAAGGCUGCUGGCCUUUGUCCCCUCGCGCUGACCGGCCCGAGUUGAGGCCGGUGCUGAGGGAAGAGAAAGAAGGCAGCGAGUCCCUAACCAGGCCGGCUAAUGAUGCUGCAGAGGAGGGGGCACUCGCCGCCCUGGGUGCCAGAGCUAGAAAACACCCUUUGGACUCGAAAUUUUCAUCUUACUCAGUGCUGAAAAGAAAGAGCGCGUGCACAAGCUGGGGAGGGGCAGAGAGAGAGGGAGACACAGAAUCCCAAGCAGGCUCCAGGCUCUGAGCUGUCAGCACAGAGCCCCACGCGGGGCUCGAACUCACAGACCAAGAGAUCAUGACCUGAGCGGAAGUCGGUUGCUUAACCAACUGAACCAUCCAUUUCUCCCUUUGUAGGUUUCCUUUGUGGCUGUUAUUUCUGGCUGGUCCAUUUGAUGGAUUAGAUCAUUUGACAGAAAUUUUAUCAAACAGUCCAUCAAAAAUUGUGCUAUUUUCGCUAAUGUCAGUUUUAUUUUGAGGUGUUGUUUUUUUUUUUUUUUCAGACAAAUCUAAUGGGGGAGGCAAUUUUUGCAAUUUCCAAUCAGUCAAUAACAGUAUACUGUAUGUCAAUGACAGUUUGGUUUGGGGUUAUUUCUACCAGAAAUACUAUUAUGAGUUGGAGAAAAAUCUAAUUGUUCUGUGAAGUAGAGACCAUUAGUAAGGGAGUCUUAGGAUCUGGAAUAAUUAUCUUCAACCAAAAACAUAUGCUGCUUGUCCACAAGUUUCCUGGAUAACAUCCCCACCUUCUCGGAAUAUAAAAUCAGAAGUCAUAAACUGUGUGCAAGACCAGAGCAAAAGAAGGUCAGCUAUGUUUUAACAAAAAGAGCCCUGAAUUGGGAGCCAUGAAGUCUGGCUCCAGCACUGACCAGCUGUGCGACUUUGGGAAAGUCACUUACCCUCUCUAGGCUUCCAUUUUCUGUGUGCCAGACACUGUGUAUCUUGAACAAGACAGGGGAGAUCUCUACUUUCAUAGAAUUCAUAUUCAAAUGGAGAUGAGGUAAACAAAUAUGAUAAUUGUAGGUGAUUGAGUGUUAUUUAUAGAAUAAAACAGGACAAUGUGAUAGAGCCUGGGGAUAGGGAGGAGAUAAGUUGUUCAGGGGUGGCUUCUUAGGAGGUGACAUUGAGCUGAGACUGGAAUGAUGAGAAGGAACCAGCCAUGUGAAGUGACCAGGGAAAGUGUAUUUCAGGAAGAGAUGUCAGAUGCUGAAGACCCUAAAGCAGUAAUGAACUUGACAUUUUUUUGGAAACAAAUAUGGCUCUUGUGGCUGGAAUGUAGUGAGCAAAGAAGAUAUAUAUAUAUAUAUAUAUAUAUACACACACACACACACACACACACACACACACAUAUAUAUAUAUAUUUUUUUUAAUGUUUAUUUGUAUUUGAGAGAGACAGAGUGUGAGCAGGGGAGGGGCAGAGAGAGACGGAGACACAGAAUUCAAAGCAAACUCCAGGCUCUGAGCUGUCAGCACAGAGCCCAACACGGGGCUUGAACUCACGGACAGCAAGAUCAUGACCUGAGUUGAAGUCAGCCCCUUAACCGACUGAGCUACCCAGGUGCCCCAAGCAAAGGAGAAAUAUAAAAUGAAGUUUUAGAGAGGUUUAUUCAUUAGAAGCAAAUUCAUCAACACCAAUGUGAUUUUGAUUUAAAUAUCCAUUAAGGUUAGAAUUCCACUCCUACAAGUCCUGGCUGAAGGAAAGAAUGAACUUCUAGGAAGCCUCAACCGUCAAAGGACCGAUUAGAAUACCAGACAGCAGAGUGCAGCAGACCUUUAUGGU